UACAGAGGUCUCAAGCGUUGUUCGGAUUCAUUGGGCGUAAAGGGCGCGUAGGUGGCCCGGUCAGUUCGUGGUGAAAGCGCGGGGCUCAACCCUGCGUCGGCCAUGAAUACUGCCGCGGCUGGAGCACUGUAGAGGCAGGCGGAAUUCCGGGGUGUAGCGGUGGAAUGCGUAGAUAUCUGGAGGAACACCGGUGGCGAAGGCGGCAUCCUGGACCGGUAUUGGACGCUGAGGCGCGAAA
rnacentral:rRNA from 1 species